GAGCUGGCGCACCGGGCUGCGCGCCCCGAGGACUCGGCGACCGCCCCGCGCCCUGGCCGACACCUGCGACUCUUGCCCUCCUGAAAACGUCUAGCUGCCAUUCCAGAAAGAAUAAGUGAGGUGUCAGCAAAUAUGUUCUGAGUAUCUCUGCAUUGUGUGCACUGUGCUGGAGGCCUGGCAUUGUGCAGCCCCCUGGAAGGCAUAGAAAGCAAGCCAAGGAAGGACCUGUUCUCACCUAUUACCAAGAGCAAAGCAAAUUCACCUCAGAGAAUCAAU